rnacentral:rRNA from 1 species
AAUAGAUACCCGGGUAGUCCACGCCGUAAACGAUGAGUGCUAAGUGUUAGAGGGUUUCCGCCCUUUAGUGCUGCAGCUAACGCAUUAAGCACUCCGCCUGGGGAGUACGGCCGCAAGGCUGAAACUCAAAGGAAUUGACGGGGGCCCGCACAAGCGGUGGAGCAUGUGGUUUAAUUCGAAGCAACGCGAAGAACCUUACCAGGUCUUGACAUCCUCUGCCAACCCUAGAGAUAGGGCGUUCCCCUUCGGGGGACAGAGUGACAGGUGGUGCAUGGUUGUCGUCAGCUCGUGUCGUGAGAUGUUGGGUUAAGUCCCGCAACGAGCGCAACCCUUGAUCUUAGUUGCCAGCAUUCAGUUGGGCACUCUAAGGUGACUGCCGGUGACAAACCGGAGGAAGGUGGGGAUGACGUCAAAUCAUCAUGCCCCUUAUGACCUGGGCUACACACGUGCUACAAUGGAUGGUACAAAGAGCUGCGAACCCGCGAGGGUAAGCGAAUCUCAUAAAGCCAUUCUCAGUUCGAAUUGUAGG